rnacentral:rRNA from 1 species
CCUACGGGAGGCUGCAGUGGGGAAUAUUGCACAAUGGGGGAAACCCUGAUGCAGCGACGCCGCGUGAGUGAAGAAGUAAUUCGUUAUGUAAAGCUCUAUCAGCAGGGAAGAAAAUGACGGUACCUGAGUAAGAAGCCCCGGCUAACUACGUGCCAGCAGCCGCGGUAAUACGUAGGGGGCAAGCGUUAUCCGGAUUUACUGGGUGGAAAGGGAGCGUAGACGGCGGUGCAAGUCUGGAUUUAAAGGCGGGGGCUCAACCCCCGGACUGCUCUGGAAACUGUACGGCUGGAGUGCAGGAGAGGUAAGCGGAAUUCCUAGUGUAGCGGUGAAAUGCGUAGAUAUUAGGAGGAACACCAGUGGCGAAGGCGGCUUACUGGACUGUAACUGACGUUGAGGCUCGAAAGCGUGGGGAGCAAACAGGAUUAGAUACCCCUGUAGUC